rnacentral:rRNA from 1 species
GAUGAACGCUCGCGAUAGGCUUAACACAUGCAAGUCGAGGGGUAACGUGUUGGAAGCUUGCUUCCGAUGACGACGACCGGCGGAUGGGUGCGUAACGCGUAUGCAACUUGCCUCACAGUGGAGAAUAACCCGGAGAAAUCCGGACUAAUACUCCAUACACUCUUAAGUACGCCUGUACAUGAGAGGAAAGAUUUAUCGCUGUGAGAUAGGCAUGCGUCCUAUUAGGUAGUUAGUGAGGUAACGGCUCACCAAGCCGACGAUAGGUAGGGGUGCUGAGAGGCAGAUCCCCCACAUUGGGACUGAGACACGGCCCAAACUCCUACGGGAGGCAGCAGUGAGGAAUAUUGGUCAAUGGAGGAAACUCUGAACCAGCCAAGUCGCGUGAAGGAAGAAUGUCCUAAGGAUUGUAAACUUCUUUAGCGAGCGAGUAAGGACUUCCACGUGAUGGGAGUUUGAAAGUAGCUCGAGAAUAAGUAUCGGCUAACUCCGUG